ensembl:lncRNA
UGUGCCUGACCCACUUUACAGUCGGCUUUGCUCAUGCUCUGCCACCGCCUUUGUCCUCAGGGAAGUGGGACGCUGCCUGGCACUGCCCUGGGUGUGGGCAAGAUGUGUUGGCUCUCAGAGGCUGCUCCGGCUUCUCCUUUUCCAAUAUAAAUUCUGUGUUCAUGAGGUUUAUCCACUGUUAGCUCAGUCAUCUCAGCACUUCCCUGCACUGUCACUUUUCCACGGCUUUCUCUUUUCAAAAUGUUUUGACUUAGCCUGACUUGUGAAAUGCACUACAUUUAUUCCCAUGGACUUUGAAACCUUAAAGCCUCUGCUUUUUAUUGUCUGCAGCAUCAGUACCAGCCCGGAAUCUGCCUUUUGGACUUUGAACAGCUGCAAGGCUUCAUAACAGCACUGUGCAGCCACAGAACUGGGGCUGUGGGCAGCUUUGGAUAUCUCUGGUACCCACUGCUCCAGCAGAGCCAUCGGAGCUGCUGCCUGGCACUGUGUCCUGCUGCGUUUGGAGGUCUUCAUGGGGACCCCAGCACCUGUCCGGGUACCUGUGUCCAUACUUCAUCACCCACACAGCAAAGAAAAACCCUGUAAAGCCAACUCAGUUUACUUAAGUAUCAGAGUAGGUGCUCAAAGGUCUUCACAAAUAGCUGCUUGAAGCUGUUCUGAAGGCCAGUUACAGUAAGUCACUCUUGUUCUGUUCUCGCUCUGGCAGCCACGCGUUCCUUACAAGCCAGCAGGUGCAGCACAGCCCCACUGCUGGGCCAUGGGGUGGAAUUAGGCACCCUUCUGCCAACCAUGCUGGAAGUGGGGAGCUGCCACUCAGCAGCAUCUCCCUCCCUAUGCACAAACAGGGACUACAGGAUUGGAGCAGUCCAAAUUAUUUCUGUGGAUGCUACGGCAAAAAUGGUACAAAACCCAGUAUGUAUAAGUACAUGGAGGUAGACUGCAGAUGAGGUUAGGAAAAGCAUGUGGCAAAUAUGCUUGAGGUAGGUUUGCUUCCCUUUUGAAUAUCUUUUUUAUGCUGUCUCAAAUCCUCAUAGUUAGGCAAGGAGAGCACACAAAAGUCAUUUGAGGGAGAAACAAGCUGAUAAAGAAAUAAAAAAAAAUCAGCUGAUAUUGCCUGAGACAAUUUGAUUGAGUUUUAUCAGCCUACUGCUGUUACAUCAUCUAAACUGCAGACUGCCUCCCUCAGUACCUACCCACUCCCCUGCCUUCCUGGGGCACAACUCGCACAGAAAGCAACAUCCUAAGGAUGCUUCUGUUGCACAGGUUUUGAUGAAGCAGAGACACAAUUUUUCUGGAAUUCAGUGGAGACAAGAAUUUUCUUUCUUUUCUGCUGCAUUGUUGCAAGAUUGCUUUAAAUAACAUUGGCACAAGCACAAGGAGCUCAGCAGUAUUUUUCCAGCAUCUGUAUCAGACAAAAAAAAAAGCUUGCUUGCUCUCAAAAAUGUUCCCUACCUUCUGCAUUCCUUGAAGGAAAAAAAGACCACUUUUGUGAGUCUGACUGCCUGUGCAUACAGACCAGCUUCUUGUCCAGGCUCAGUGGUCACACCGUGCUACCCAGCAGUGAUACCAGUGCAGUCCUUGCAGGCUCACCUUCCCUUUGGUCAGCAAAUGCAGACCAAGUCCUGUGAUGAUUCCCAACCUGUGAUUGGAGGAGCCAAGCUGAGGUCUUUCAAGCCUGGUUCUCUCUAGGCUUUGAUAAUCCCAUGUAACACUUGUAUUAAAAAAAAAAAAAACUCAUCUUUUUACAUCAUGUUAUCUCCAUAAUCUCUAAAUCACAACCAGCACUAACAAAGAGCAUUUCUCUGUCUAUGAAAGAGGAGUGUGAAGUGGUUAGGGUUCUUUUUUGAGGGGGGGGGGAGGGGAGUGGGAAGAGGGCAUAGAUAAGAGAAUAUGUUUACUUUUAGCUAAACAGCCAAGAGGAAUAGCUGAAAACAUAGUCCAAGGUUCUGGACUAAUCCCGUGCUGUGUCCAGGAGGCUGCUCUCUGUUGCUAAUGCCAUGUUCAGUGUCAGAACUCCCUUCCCCCUAUGGCUGCGCAGCUGCUCAGCUGGCUUCUGCCCACAGCCCAGUGAUGCUGCAAGAAUGUAGGUCAGAGCUCUUCUGGAUCUGAUAAGUGUUAAAUUAAGCUUACGUUGAUCUUAGUUGCUCCAAUCAUUUCAUGUAUUUGCUAUAGUGUUAAGCUUCCCCCUUCUUCUGAAUUCUCAGUGGUAAAAGGUCCCUAAUUGUAAUUUAUCUGUGACUGAUACCCAGUACAAUUACCUUUACAACUCAGGAUGGUGAUGCUUAGGUUUAGGAUUAUUUGCAUGGGAACCAUUACCUGUGCAUGUAACAAUUGAGAUUGGUCUCUACCUCUUUUUUUUUUAAAUCUUGUUCUUUGCUUUGCAGCUUUAGUGAAGGAUGAGUCUUCUGUGUUGCUAAUACUGACUGACUUGCAGGACUCUGACUAUCACCAGCAGAGGCUUUUUCAUGACAAAGACAGCAAAAAACAUUCCGACUAGCUUGGAGAGAUUCCCUACACGAUAUGUAGGGCACAGUGGGAGGUGGCCUUCAUGUGAUUACAGCCUAUCUGUGACAGUUGUCUGCCACUUCUUACAGCUUGGUGUUUUUGUUGCUUUAACUUUCCCAGACUUCUAAUUCAACAGAUACGUUCAAAGUCCACUGCAAACUCAGUCUUCUCUGUGGCACCUUCAGUGAGUUCUAUCAAGUGUAACGCUUAAUCCCUUUGAAUUAUAUACCAAUCAUGUUUAGGCAUAGAACUUUGCCUUCUGCCUGGUUCUAGAUGUUAUUGAUUUGCACUGUGUGGAGAGCAAACCCUUCCACUGACUUUGAUUUGCAGGCUGAGGUUAUUUGUGCUUACUGAUCAGGAACCUUGAUUUGGGCAGCAUUAGGAAAAAGUACUUAGGACUUGCAGAUGUCUUCUGUAGGCUGCUUUCAGUCACCAUCUGAUCCUCUAAAUCAAGGGGUAUUAACUAUUUUAAAAAGCUCAUUUAAAGAAAAUAAAGGCAGUGUUGUUUCUUUUAAUGUGGUGAAAGUCAUCCUUUACAGUGAAGCUAUGAGAUGAACGGAUUUUAGAGGAAAGAGGUAAAUAUGCUGAGGCAUAUUUGGGGUAUGUAUGUGUGUAAAGCCCCUGCAUACAUAAAUCUCUAUUGUAUAGACAGGAUAAUUAGGUCCUAACGAAUUGCAGACAACAGCUCACCCAGUUACCACCAGCGGGAUCCCUGAGGAACACGUCAGUGGUGAUGUGCUGUGUGUAAGCAGCACCUGCCACCUUCAGCUGUGCACUCACCUGCUGUGAAGGGCUCCGUGGAGCUGUGUGUCCCACGCACAGCAGCUGAGACUGGAAGGUGCAGCUGAAGAUAAUUUGAGCAAGGUUAACUCCUCUCUACAUCAGUUUCUGAGGCUCGAAUGGGCUGCUCGGUCACCUUCAAGCACUGAUGAGCUGCUCAGCACCCCAACGCUGAGCAAUGGGGUUCUUAAGGCAGGCGUCCACCUCCGCCAGUGCUGUGGAGUUUUUAGAGAAGGCCAUUUAGGGCACAGGACCGAUGCGGCAGGGCCUCACGCUCACCCGGGCUGUGUGGCUGACAGCACGCAGGGCGCAGCCCAUCUCCGCCCCCCAGCAGCAUUCCCUGCGGCCUUCGCUCUCCCUGCCCCAGCCCGGCCUGCUCCCGGCUGCCUGCUAAGCGCCUCGAGGCCUGCUGUCUCAUUGCUGUCGCUCGGGUGAAGGCACGAAACUAAGGAAUACCUGAGGAGAGGGGAAGCAGUGACCCCAGCAGUCAGUGCUCUGCAGGGCGCCGCUACCCGCUUAUCGGGGUGUGGAGACGCGCACUAAAAACAACAGUAGCGAUUUUGAGAGAAGCAACUGCCACCACCGCGGGCUGCCGAUGGAUAAAUAACUGCUCGAAAGUCACGCACACGACGUCCUGACCACAUCUCACGGUGACCGCAGCCCAACGCGACCUACGAGCCCCCCGCGAGGCUCCGGGCCCGGCGCUGCCCCCAGGCGCUCAGG